rnacentral:rRNA from 1 species
UACGGGAGGCAGCAGUGAGGAAUAUUGGACAAUGGGUGGAAGCCUGAUCCAGCCAUCCCGCGUGUAGGAUGACGGCCUUAUGGGUUGUAAACUACUUUUAUCUGGGGAUAAACCUACUUACGUGUAAGUAGCUGAAGGUACCAGAAGAAUAAGCACCGGCUAACUCCGUGCCAGCAGCCGCGGUAAU